rnacentral:rRNA from 1 species
AUUGAACGCUGGCGGCAGGCCUAACACAUGCAAGUAGAGCGAGCGGCGGCCGGGGGGGUAAUGUAUGGGGACUGCCCGAUAGAGGGGGAUAACUACUGGAAACGGUAGCUAAUACAGCAUACUAUCGGAUAACCCAUAGGGGAUUAGCUAGUAGGUUAGGUAAUGGCUCACCUAGGCGACUAUCGCUAGCUGGUCUGAGAGGAUGAUCAGCCAGACUGGGACGUAGACACAUCCCAGACGCAUAAGGAGGCAGAAUUGGGGAAGAAGGCACAAGGGGCGCAAGCCGGCAGCAUCCCUGCCGCGGGUAUGAAGAAGGCCCGAGGGUUGUAAAGUACUUGCAGUCGGGAAGCGUUGCCGACAGAAUAAGCACCGGCUAACUCCGUGCCAGCAGCCGCGGUAAUUC